UACAGAGGUCCCAAGCGUUGUUCGGAUUCACUGGGCGUAAAGGGUGCGUAGGCGGUCGGAUAAGUCUGAUGUGAAAUCUUCGAGCUCAACUCGGAAACUGCAUCGGAAACUAUUCGGCUAGAGGAUUGGAGGGGAGACUGGAAUUCUCGGUGUAGCAGUGAAAUGCGUAGAUAUCGAGAGGAACACCAGUGGCGAAGGCGAGUCUCUGGACAAUUCCUGACGCUGAGGCACGAAGGCCAGGGGAGCAAACGGG
rnacentral:rRNA from 1 species